UGGCCCUAUUCGCCUAAACCAAACCAGUAAACCCUCUGUCUCUCAAUCGCUCAAAGACUCGGAACCUUAAAUGCAGGCGCAACCGCAGCCCUCUCUGCCUCCCUCUGUCUCUCAAUCGCAAUCGCGGGCUCGCAGCCCUCUCUCGAAGACUCGAACUGAUGGCUCGUCCUUAAUCGCGAACCGUAAAUCGCAGGUCGCCGCUCACCGCCUCACGCCGGAGUCGAGUCGCCGGUCGCCGGAGUCGCCGGAGUCGCCGUUCGCCGGAGUCCAUAAAUCCAGGUCUCCAGAAUUUCAAUAAUCAAAUAUUCAAGAUAAGUAGAUUGGCAGUAAGCAGUAUGGUUGUAUGGGCGUAUGGCUAUGACUUGUGAAUUUUGAAGACCAUGAAGUUCAUAUUGUUUGUUUAUUUAGUAUGUUUUGUGAAGACUAUGAAGUUCAUGCCCUUAUUUACUAAAAUUAAUAAAAGAAGCUGAGACUCCAAAUGAGACAGAGACGCUUCCCCAUUCAGCCUAAUUCAAUUCUGCGGAUUGAAGCUUCCGCCGACCGCUGACCACGACUGCCAACCACGA